GAUGAACGCUGGCGGCGUGCCUAAUACAUGCAAGUCGAGCGAACAGAUGAGGAGCUUGCUCCUCUGACGUUAGCGGCGGACGGGUGAGUAACACGUGGAUAACCUACCUAUAAGACUGGGAUAACUUCGGGAAACCGGAGCUAAUACCGGAUAAUAUAUUGAACCGCAUGGUUCAAUAGUGAAAGACGGUUUUGCUGUCACUUAUAGAUGGAUCCGCGCCGCAUUAGCUAGUUGGUAAGGUAACGGCUUACCAAGGCAACGAUGCGUAGCCGACCUGAGAGGGGGAUCGCCAACCCGGGAACGGAGACACGGUCAAGCCUCAUCGGGGGGGCAGAAGAAGGAAUUUUUCCGAAAGGGGCGAAAGCAGAAGGGGGCACCCCCGCGGGAGGAAGAAGGGUCUUGGAAUCGAAAAACUUUGUUAUAGGGGAAAAAAAAAGGGGAAAGUAAUAAUGCACGUCUUGAGGGACCAUAAUAAGAAAGCCACGGCAAACUACGGC
rnacentral:rRNA from 1 species